GAUGAACGCUAGCGGCAGGCUUAAUACAUGCAAGUCGAGGGGCAGCAUGUCCCGACGCAAGUCGGGAUGAUGGCGACCGGCAAACGGGUGCGGAACACGUACAGAACCUUCCUUCGAGCGGGGAAUAGCCCAGAGAAAUUUGGAUUAAUACCCCAUAGUAUUACGGAGUGGCAUCACUUUGUAAUUAAAGAUUUAUCACUUGAAGAUGGCUGUGCGGCUGAUUAGGUAGUUGGCGGGGUAACGGACCACCAAGCCUGCGAUCAGUAACUGGUGUGAGGGCACGACCAGUCACACGGGCACUGAAACACGGGCCCGACUCGUACGGGGGGCAGAAGUAAGGAAUAUUGGUCAAUGGACGAAAGUCUGAACCAGCCAUGCCGCGUGGAGGAUGAAGGUCCUCUGGAUUGUAAACUUCUUUUAUAUGGGACGAAAAAAGGCUUUUCUAAGUCGUCUGACGGUACCAUAUGAAUAAGCACCGGCUAACUCCGUGCCAGCCGCCGCCGUAAUAC
rnacentral:rRNA from 1 species